UGUGUGUGUGUGUGUGUGUGUGUGUGUGUGUGUGUGUGUGUGUGUGUGUGUGUGUGUGUAUAUAGUUGGUUUUGUACGCUAAAGGUUUUUUAAUGUCCCUCUGUGACUGGAGGUGUUUCAUUCUCUGAGUAUGGGUAUGCAGAUGGGUAACCCAGAGGUCAGGGUGGGUGGUAUUUGUUGGUGUCAUAACAUAUAUUUAACAACCCUACCAUUUGUAUAUUUCUUUUAAAGGACGGAGGCUUGUAUCAUUAAUCAUUAAUAUAGCUGGGACUAAAUAGCUAGUAUAACUAUUCAACAAAUAGUAGAUGGGAAUAUACAAUGCUUAAUCUAAUUAUUUCCCGCACUCUGGUUCAUUCUCCACAUAUCGCCUAAUAACAAUACUUCAAAGUGGAACAUUAAAGGGUUUAGAUAAAAUACAUUUCAAGUACAAAAAUACAUUUGAAGUAAAAAAACUAACAAAAAACAAGUAAUGCUAAGUAUUUUUUCAAUUAAUUUCCUAAAGUCAUUUAGAAUUUAAAAACCAAAUCUGUAAACAGAAUUUGAAGUGGGAGAGGGAACGAUCGAACACAACAAACAACAAUUAUUUUACCUUAAGUGGGACUGGAAAAUGGUGCAGAAGGACCAACAUUGAACAUUCUUCUUUGUUUGGUGUAUCACGUUUCUGUUAAACUAUGAAAAAAUUAGUAAUUCCCAAUUUUUUAUAUCCUUUACAACUCCGUACCAAAUAAAACAGUUAUUUGUGGGGUAUUUUGUUUAACAUUUUACAGGGAUAAUGCUUUAGUGCUUUAGUGUUUUGGUUAUUGUCUCUUCAGCCAUAUUUGUACUGGAAUUAUAUUUGAACGGUGUAGUCCGUCCAAGAUUUUGGUAAUGCAUUUUUCCUCCCUAAUCUAUUAGACUUAUUAUGCAAGGCCUUCCACUAUUUGAGCAGAAUCAGUCAAAUCAUAGUACCCUUAUUUUUGUGAUAAUUUCCAUGCAAUUUAAUUGCUGCUAAAUCAGAAUCAAUUAUUUCUAAUCAUAGAUGCACCAACUCAGCUGAUGGAGAAAUUGUGUGGCGUAGUAUUACGGUACAUGAAGUAAAUGAAGGCGUGCGUGGCUUGUUUUCCUAUUUAUUGUUGGUGGGUUGUUUAUCCUUCCAGCAGGUUGCUGAAUUUGAAUGAACUGCUGCCGAUGAUGAUUGCAUCUUUUUUACUACCCACAAGGUUAUUUUUUUAGUGCUUGUUUUACAGUGCUGCUUGAAAUUGUGAACCCUACAGGGAUGGUCAUAAUUUUUCUAUAAAAUAUUACAAUAAACUAAAUCCUUAUCUAAAGAUUUUGGCCCACUGAGGGAGGUUGGAGGGGUGUCUGGAAUGUACGGACAGGUCCAGCCACAUCCUGAGUGGUUUCUUGUCAGGAAUGACUUGACCAAUCCAAAACACAAGCCUUUCUUUUGAGACAUUCUUUGGUGGAUUUCCUUGAAUGCUUUCGCCCUUUUCUUGUUGGAAGACCCAUUUCCGGCCCAGCUUUAGCCCCUUGACUGAAUUCCUGACAUUCUUUUUAAGAAUCUCUUGGUGUACCUCAGAGUUCAUGGUUACCUUGAUGACGUGCAGUCAACCAGGUCCAGAUUUGAAAACAUUCUUGCCACUAUGCUUGACUUGGAUUUUGGAUUUUUUACCAAAAAGGCACCUUUUAGACUUUCCUGAGAAUGGAGUCCCAAAAACCUUUGGGUUUGUCUUUGUAGUCUCUGGCAAAGUUAAGACAAGCAGUUAGAUAUUUUCCUGAUAACAGAGGCUUCUUCCUAGCAACCCUCUCUUGAAUCCCAUUUUGAUUCAGUGUUCUUAUUGUUGAAGCACAGUAACCUAAAAUGCAGCAAGGGAAGUCUGCAUUUCUCCAGAUGUUAAGUUUGAGUUGGCAUUUUCCCGAUUCAUUAUUCUUGGGCAUAUUUUGGAUGGGCGUCCACUUCAAUGCCCAGUUGCUGUCAUAUCAAAUGCUUUCCAUUUGUAAAUGAUUUGCUUCACAGUGGACACAUGAGCUCAGAUCUUUUUUAGGUCUGGGGAAGCUAUAUAACCAUCUAUGUGCUCUCACUACUUUCAUCUGAUGUCCUUUGAGAUGUCCUUUCCUUUCGACAUUCUGCGUUUUACAUUGACUGACCAGAUUUCAUGUCUCUUUAUCAGUCCUGUCCAAACUGAGUUCUAAAGAUCCCUCCUUUGAUUGGUUCAUUUGGUACCCAAUUAUUGACCUAAUUGAUUCUACUUACUUACUUGAUACCAAUACAACUGAGGGUUCACUUUCUUACUCAUGCACUAAUCCAUAAAAAAAAGGAAAUCUACUUAUGAUUUCCUCUUACUUGGUAACCAUAAACCUGUUGUCAGAUAAAAAAUAAACACUGUUUAGAUUAAAUAAAGAUUUCAGAGUGAACACUAAAAAAACAUACUUCUAAGCAGCACUGUAUAGGCCUAUGUAGAAAGCAGUACAUCUCCCACUAAUGUACUGGGUACAUAAAAUGCAAAAUCCUAUGAAAUGCUUGUGCUAUUAAGUUAAUAUGAUGCAAACUGGUUUUCUUUAAGUCAGUGAAGUUGUCAUUUAUGCCUUUGCUCGUUGUGUUACAGAGUGGUUUUCUGAAUUUUUGUAAUUUUACUGAUAUGACUGGCUAUAGGAGGCUAGUGUAAUGGUAGAAUUUGUACUGGUGACAUUGCUAAAACUGUGGUUGUAAUGCCUCAAUCACAAAGCGCCAUUGCAUUUUGGUACCCCACAAGUACAUUCAUGGAACACUGUCCUCACAUUGUAACAUUUGGUGGUGGAGGCGCCUGCUGUGUUGAGUACAAUUCAUUCAUCGUUUGCAUCAAAUUCAAUGUGCUGACAGCUUGAAAGAAAUUGUAUGAAAGUGGAGUGGGGAAAUGUUGUUGCGUACAAACCCAGAUUAUUUAUGUGUGCAGUGCUGUAGGUGUGAUCAAGGUGUUAACACUACAUCACCUAGUGAGGAAGAGAUGUACAGCUGGCUGUACAUCUACAGUGGGUUCUUUUCAUUCACUCUCCUACCGCACCAAGGAAAAUGUAACAAAGUAAGGUUAAAAGAAGUAUGAACUACAUUUUCAAUUGCUCUUUUUCCUGGAACUGUAAAUCCAUUUUCAAACCCUUAGGAACUAAUGUGAAUUGCUAGACUAACAUUCAAUAAAUGUUUUACCACUG
ensembl:lncRNA